rnacentral:rRNA from 1 species
GAUAAACGCUGGCGGCGUGCAUUAUGCAUGCAAGUCGAACGGUCCUUCGCAAGAAGGGCAGUGGCAAACGGGUGAGUAGCACGUAAGUAACCUGCCCCUAAGUGGGGAAUAACCUCGGGAAACCGAGGCUAAUACCGCAUGUAGUGGUGAAGGUAAGGCUUCACCACCAAAGCCUUCGGGCGCUUGGGGAGGGGCUUGCGGCCGAUUAGCUAGUUGGUAGGGUAACGGCUUACCAAGGUUACGAUCGGUAGCUGGUCUGAGAGGAUGGUCAGCCACACUGGGACUGAGACACGGCCCAGACUCCUACGGGAGGCUG